GUCUUUUUGAUUAUAAUUUAAAGUCUAAUCUGCCCAAUGAAAAUUUUAAAUGGCUGCGGUAUUUUGACCGUACAAAGGUAGCAUAAUCAUUAGUUUUUUAAUUGAAAGCUAGAAUGAAUGAUUGAACGAGAAAAUUUCUGUCUCAAUUUAAUUUAAUUAGAAUUUUAUAUUUAAGUUAAAAAGCUUAAAUAAUUUUUAAAGACGAGAAGACCCUAUAGAGUUUUAUAUUUUUAAAAUUUUAAAAUUUUAUAAAUUUAAUAAUUUUUAAAAAUAUUUUAUUGGGGUGAUAAUUAAAUUUAAAAAACUUUAAUUUUUAAAACCAUAAAUUUAUGAAUAAUUGAUCCAUUUAUAAUGAUUAAAAGAUUAAAUUACCUUAGGGAUAACAGCGUAAUUUUUUUUGAGAGUUCUAAUCGAAAAAAAAGAUUGCGACCUCGAUGUUGGAUUAAAAUUAAAUUUUGGUGUAGAAGCUAAAAUAUUUGAGUCUGUUCGACUUUUAAAAUUUUACAUGAUCUGAGUUUAAACCGGCGUGAGCCAGGUUGGUUUCUAUCUUAAAAUAGAUCAAAUAUUUUAGUACGAAAGGACCAAAUAUUUAUAAAAUUUAUUAAUAUUUGAAUAU
rnacentral:rRNA from 1 species